UACGUAGGGUGCGAGCGUCAAUCGGAAUUACUGGGCGUAAAGCGUGCGCAGGCGGUGAUGUAAGUCAGGUGUGAAAUCCCCGGGCUUAACCUGGGAACUGCAUUUGUGACUGCAUCGCUGGAGUGCGGCAGAGGGGGAUGGAAUUCCGCGUGUAGCAGUGAAAUGCGUAGAUAUGCGGAGGAACACCGAUGGCGAAGGCAAUCCCCUGGGCCUGCACUGACGCUCAUGCACGAAAGCGUGGGGAGCAAACAGG
rnacentral:rRNA from 1 species